GCCAGCGAACAAGGUGGUCGAGUUCAAGUUCUUGCUGCAAGAUCCCUCGGGGCACGUCAGCUGGCAGCACGGCCACAACAGAACUCUGCGGAUAGCAGAGACCUCGAAGACAUUGGUAGUCUACGAAGACUGGGAUGACGCCAAGUGCCAGGAAGUAUUGGAGGUGGUGUACCAGUCGAUUGUAGCGGAAGACGUCCACUUUGCAGGAUCAUGUAACGGCGCAAUUCUGCCAGACGAUAACGAAAUCCAUGAGAAUCAACAGACCGACAAGGGCCUGACGGAUGUAGCAGGCACGGAUGGUGGUUCUUCUCCUCAGAGAGAAAAGAAGCGGGCAGAUGGCGCGAACGGACCGCAGUUUACCUUGGAGAAAGACCACAAGGUUCCUGACGUGCUUCGCAGAAGAGCAAAAGUUGCAGUACAUACCCUGAAAGAUGAAGGUGCUCCCGUGGAGAAUAGGGCGCCAGCCGGUGUGUUCGAAAAUGACAUGGCCUGGGUCAGGAAAACCCUGCAGCGGCUGCUCCGGAGCCUCGGUCUCCAGAUUGGCACCACAGAAACAUGAAACAGCCAUAAUGAAUACGGUCUGAGACUUGCCGCUCUGGAGGCCAUGGUGUUCAUCCGCUGAAUACCAUUUCUAUGCUGCAACUCUCAAGAGACGAGAAAAGCUGUUAAUAGUGCACCAGUUAUCAAUUACAGCAGCCACUGUUUUCGAUGUAGCGUUGCAUAUAGGAAGUCCUCCCGGAAAAAAGCUGUUAUUAGUGCAACCGUUAUCACUUAGCUGUCUUUGAUUUUGAUUUCUUAUCUAGUAAAUACCUUGUUUUGAAGGAAUCGUAAACCCUUAUCUCAAUUCCACAA